UACGUAGGGUCCGAGCGUUGUCCGGAAUUAUUGGGCGUAAAGAGCUCGUAGGUGGUUUGUCGCGUUGUUCGUGAAAACCGGGGGCUUAACCCUCGGCGUGCGGGCGAUACGGGCAGACUUGAGUACUGCAGGGGAGACUGGAAUUCCUGGUGUAGCGGUGGAAUGCGCAGAUAUCAGGAGGAACACCGGUGGCGAAGGCGGGUCUCUGGGCAGUAACUGACGCUGGAGGAGCGAAAGCGUGGGGAGCGAACAGG
rnacentral:rRNA from 1 species